CAAGCCGGCACUCCGGAGAUGGCCAUCGCGAUACAUAUUUGCCUUGCGGGAUUGGGCGCCAAAGUGGAUUGCCGUGGGAAAGGCUCAUUCCUAGAGUGGGGAUGUUGACUACCACGGGGCCAUUAGGCUCGGCACUGGCCAGACAGCCUACGGGUGGGUCUCAGGGCCAGACAGCCUUCGGGCGGGUCUCUUCAGAUUUGAUUUUGAGCAUUCAUCAUACCAUGUGGACAUUGAUUA
rnacentral:lncRNA from 1 species